rnacentral:rRNA from 1 species
UACGUAGGCAGCAAGCGUUGUUCGGAGUUACUGGGCGUAAAGGGUGCGUAGGUGGUCGUUUUAAGUCCGUUGUGAAAUCCCUGGGCUCAACCUGGGAAUGGCAGUGGAUACUGGACGGCUAGAAUGCGGUAGAGGGUAGUGGAAUUCCCGGUGUAGCAGUGAAAUGCGUAGAGAUCGGGAGGAACACCAGUAGCGAAGGCGGCUACCUGGACCAGCAUUGACACUCAAGCACGAAAGCGUGGGGAGCAAACAGG